rnacentral:lncRNA from 1 species
GGGAACGAAAGCAGGCCUCCCAAGCCAGGAGCGGCAAACUGCUGGGAUCCAUUUCCAUGCUGUGGACUCUUUGUGCUUUGCUCUUUGCAGUAAAUCUUGCUGCUGCUCACUUUUUGGGUCUGCACCACCUUUAUGAGCUGUAACACUCACCGCGAAGGUCUGCAGCUUUACACCUGAAGCCAGGGAGACCACGAACUCAUCAGGAGGAACGAACAACUCCAGACGCGCGGCCUUUAAGAGCUGUAACACUCAACGCGAAGGUCUGCAGCUUCACUCUUGAAGUCAGCGAAACCGCAAACCCACCAGAAGGAAGAAACUCCGGACACAUCUGAACACCUGAAGGAACAAACCCCGGACACACCAUCUCUAAGAACUGUAACACUCACCGCCAGGGUCCGCGGCUUCAUUCUUGAAUCAGUGAGACCAAGAACCCACCAAUUCCAGACACAGAAGUUUGAUGAUGAGAUGGGGAUUUAACCUCUGCUUGCCAUCAUUAUCAGUUCACUGAGUUUCUGAGUAUAAGCCACAAAGCUCUUGGAAAUGACCCCUACGCCCCUCCCCCA